UACGAAGGGGGCUAGCGUUGCUCGGAAUCACUGGGCGUAAAGGGUGCGUAGGCGGCCAACUAAGUCCGACGUGAAAUCCCCAGGCUUAACUUGGGAACUGCGUCGGAUACUGGAUGGCUUGAAUUCGGGAGAGGGAUGCAGAAUUCCAGGUGUAGCGGUGAAAUGCGUAGAUAUCUGGAGGAAUACCGGUGGCGAAGGCGGCAUCCUGGACCGACAUUGACGCUGAGGAGCGAAAGCUAGGGGAGCAAACGGG
rnacentral:rRNA from 1 species